AUCAUGUCUGUUCUGUGUUGUAUUGUGCAGGAUGAUCCAGAGGCAGGUCUCUAAGGAGGUGGUGGAUGGAGGGUCGGUGCACGUCUGGUUGGACCUGACCAAUCAACAGAUCGCCAUGAUGCUUCAGAAGAAACUAGCAGAUGCCUUUGAGGACUUCGUCCAGUAUAAGAUGGGGAGUAUGUCUUACCUGGUCUCUCUUCCUGUCAAGGU